UGCUGCGGCGUCCGGGUGCCUCGCUCCAGCCAGGGCUCUGCGGACACGGCCUCGGCUGCGGUCCGGGGACCUGGGAGCUGAGCCCGGGACCGCGGCUCCUGACUGCGCUUGUUUGCGCUGGGCCGUUUGCUUUUGGGAUGUCUCCAAGGCAGAUGGAGUCAGGGGGCCGCUAUCCCGGGGGACAGUGAUUCCAUUGGAAGCUGGCCUUUGACAGGACACACACAUGACCUUUGACUAAAAUGGCUUUAGGGAAGGAAAAGUGUCCGGACGUUGAAGACCCGGCGUCCAGCACCGCCAUUCACUCUUCCACCCCCAACGGCGCCGGGUUAAUUUUUCAUCUUUCGAGCAUAGUCUGUGAAGUUUGGUGUGCAUUUCCCCUUCAUUCUCUAGGAUUCGUUCCUGUUUCCUGAAGAUCUUGCGGCAGGACUUUCCUGCUGGGAUGUUGGUAGAUCCCUAAACCAGUCUUUCCGGGUGAACCCAGCGGGAUCCCUCGAGAUGGUAAAGGCUGGAGAUGUAGCUCAAUGAAGGCUCACUUGCAUCACACUGAGAAGGUUCAAUUCCCAGUAAUGGAAAAAAAAAAAAGCCCAAUUCUUCAUUUAGCUAGGCAUGGAAGAUUGCUACAA